AUUGAACGCUGGCGGCAGGCCUAACACAUGCAAGUCGAACGGUAACAGGAAGAAGCUUGCUUCUUUGCUGACGAGUGGCGGACGGGUGAGUAAUGUCUGGGAAACUGCCUGAUGGAGGGGGAUAACUACUGGAAACGGUAGCUAAUACCGCAUAACGUCGCAAGACCAAAGAGGGGGACCUUCGGGCCUCUUGCCAUCGGAUGUGCCCAGAUGGGAUUAGCUAGUAGGUGGGGUAACGGCUCACCUAGGCGACGAUCCCUAGCUGGUCUGAGAGGAUGACCAGCCACACUGGAACUGAGACACGGUCCAGACUCCUACGGGAGGCAGCAGUGGGGAAUAUUGCACAAUGGGCGCAAGCCUGAUGCAGCCAUGCCGCGUGUAUGAAGAAGGCCUUCGGGUUGUAAAGUACUUUCAGCGGGGAGGAAGGGAGUAAAGUCAAUACCUUUGCUCAUUGACGUUACCCGCAGAAGAAGCACCGGCUAACUCCGUG
rnacentral:rRNA from 1 species